rnacentral:rRNA from 1 species
CGGUUGAUCCUGCCGGGCCCGACUGCUAUUUGGGUAAGGAAUAAACCAUGCGAGUUGUAUGGGAUACCUAAAUAUCCCAUAGCGAACUGCUCAGUAACCCAUGAUCAACUUACCCUAUGGAGAAACAUAACCUCGGGAAACUGAGGAUAAUGUUUCAUAAUUGAAAAAGCUUGGAAAAGUUUUUCAAUGAAUGAGAUAAGAACAAUGGUUCUUAUCUGCCAUAGGAUAGGAUCGUGGUCGAUUAUGGUUGUUGGUGAGGUAACGGCUCACCAAGCCUAUAAUCGAUAGGGGCCGCGAGAGCGGGAGCCCCGAGAUGGGUACUGAGACAAGGACCCAGGCCUUACGAGGCGCAGCAGGUGCGAGACCUCCGCAAUACACGAAAGUGUGACGGGGUUACCCAAAGUGUUCACUUUUGAACUCUUGAAGGGGAGUAAUGUCCCCUACUAGAAAGGAGAGGGCAAGGCUGGUGCCAGCCGCCGCGGUAAAACCAGCUCUUCAAGUGGUCGGGAUAAUUAUUAGGCUUAAAGCGUCCGUAGCCGGUAUAGCAAGUUCCUAGUAAAAUCGGAUAGCUUAACUAUCCGUAUGCUAGGAAUACUGCUAUACUAGAGGGCGGGAGAGGUCUGAGGUACUACAAGGGUAGGGGUGAAAUCCUAUAAUCCUUGUAGGACCACCAGUGGCGAAGGCGUCAGACUGGAACGCGCCUGACGGUGAGGGACGAAAGCCAGGGGAGCGAACCGGAUUAGAUACCCGGGUAGUCCUGGCCGUAAACGAUGCACGCUAGGUGAUGGUACGGCCGUGAGCCGUACCAGUGCCGUAGGGAAACCGUUAAGCGUGCCGCCUGGGAAGUACGGCCGCAAGGCUAAAACUUAAAGGAAUUGGCGGGGGAGCAC